AACGCGAAGAACCUUACCUACUCUUGACAUCCAGAGAACUUUCCAGAGAUGGAUUGGUGCCUUCGGGAACUCUGAGACAGGUGCUGCAUGGCUGUCGUCAGCUCGUGUUGUGAAAUGUUGGGUUAAGUCCCGCAACGAGCGCAACCCUUAUCCUUUGUUGCCAGCGGUCCGGCCGGGAACUCAAAGGAGACUGCCAGUGAUAAACUGGAGGAAGGUGGGGAUGACGUCAAGUCAUCAUGGCCCUUACGAGUAGGGCUACACACGUGCUACAAUGGCGCAUACAAAGAGAAGCGACCUCGCGAGAGCAAGCGGACCUCAUAAAGCGCGUCUAGUCCGGAUUGGAGUCUGCAACUCGACUCCAUGAAGUCGGAAUCGCUAGUAAUCGUAGAUCA
rnacentral:rRNA from 1 species